rnacentral:rRNA from 1 species
CAAUAGCGUAUAUUAAAGUUGUUGCGGUUAAAAAGCUCGUAGUUGGAUUUCUGCCGAGGACGACCGGUCCGCCCUCUGGGUGAGUAUCUGACUCGGCCUGGCAUCUUCUUGGAGAACGUAGCUGCACUUGACUGUGUGGUGCGGUAUCCAGGACUUUUACUUUGAGGAAAUUAGAGUGUUUCAAGCAGGCUUACGCCUUGAAUACAUUAGCAUGGAAUAAUAAGAUAGGACCUCGGUUCUAUUUUGUUGGUUUCUAGAGCUGAGGUAAUGAUUAAUAGGGAUAGUUGGGGGCAUUCGUAUUUAACUGUCAGAGGUGAAAUUCUUGGAUUUGUUAAAGACGGACUACUGCGAAAACAUUUGCCAAGGAUGUUUUCAUUGA